CUAUUUUUGCAGCGUGAAGGUGUUUCUUUCCGUCUGAUGAUCCGGCGGAAAGAGAUGAAAAGGGAAUGCCGUGUAAUCCGGCAACAGUUCUUGCUGCUGUAAAUUCCUGUUCGGAAACGAACAAAACAGUUUUACCAAUAGCCACUGACCGUUUAGGGUUGGGAAGGCGUAAAACCGGAAUGAGUCAGAAAACCUGCCUUGGCAAUCGGAGUCAC
rnacentral:ncRNA from 2 species